ACCUGCAAACCACACUUAUUGUGGGAUGCCUGUGUCCUGGUCAUGGAUAAUGCAGGAAGAGGAAUUUUGGAAAGCAGUUUCCUGUGUUUGAAGGGUCCACACCUGUCCCUUUCAAAUGCUGGUGCUUUCACACA
rnacentral:snoRNA from 1 species